GACGAACGCUGGCGGCGUGCUUAACACAUGCAAGUCGAACGAAGUGGCGAACGGGUGAGUAACGCGUAAUCAACCUGCCCCUCAGAGGGGGACAACAGUUGGAAACGACUGCUAAUACCGCAUACUGAAGGAGGGGAUUGCGUAUGAUUAGCGAGUAGGAGGGGUAACGGCCAACCAAGGCGAUGAUCAGUAGCCGGUCUGAGAGGAUGAACGGCGACAUUGGGACUGAGACACGGGCCAGACUCCAACGGAAGGCAGCAGUGGGGAAUCUUGCGCAAUGGACGAAAGUCUGACGGAGCAACGCCGCGUGAUUGAUGACGGCCUUCGGGUUGUAAAGAUCUGUUAAUCGGGACGCGGUACCGGAAUAGAAAGCCACGGCUAACUACGUGCCAGCAGCCGCGGUAAUUC
rnacentral:rRNA from 1 species